AAAGUCGUAACAAGGUAACCGUAGGUGAACCUGCGGUUGGAUCAUUAACAAAAAAUUUUAAUCUUGGGCCCAAGGUUUUAUCACUUUGGGCCCUUGAACAAAAAUGUGAACUGUUUUUAUUAUAAACAUUUUGGGUUGGGUUUCCUCUCUUCUUGUGGGGAACGUAAGGAGCUUCGGCUUGCCUGCCCAAAAUAAAACAUAUAUUAGACCUUAGUAGAAAAAAUUGUCUUCAACUAUAAAAGCUUAUUUUUGGCUUAAAAAUUUUAAGAAAAAAACAACUUUUGACAACGGAUCUCUAGGCUCUC
rnacentral:misc_RNA from 1 species